UUUCCGUAGGUGAACCUGCGGAAGGAUCAUUAUCGUACAAAAUGUGAGGCGCAUACCAAUUCUGUCGCUGUGCCAAAAGUCGUGCACGCCCCAGUGUGUCAUCUAGCGUAAUAAGCCAUCUAACCCUUUGUGCAUCACCACACUGGCAACCUUCGGUAUCAUCUCGGAGGCAUGCUCGCGUUUUGACACAAACCCCCCGUUUAAAAGUGUGAAAUGACCACAUUUAUUCCAUUAAUACAACUUUCCACAACGGAUCUCUUGACUCUCGCAUCGAUUAAA
rnacentral:misc_RNA from 1 species